UACAGAGGUCCCGAGCGUUGUUCGGAUUCAUUGGGCGUAAAGGGUGCGUAGGCGGCGGGGCAAGUCUGAUGUGAAAUCCCGGGGCUCAACCCUGGAACUGCAUUGGAUACUGCCUCGCUAGAGUACUGGAGAGGAAACUGGAAUUUACGGUGUAGCAGUGAAAUGCGUAGAUAUCGUAAGGAAGACCAGUGGCGAAGGCGGGUCUCUGGACAGUUCCUGACGCUGAGGCACGAAGGCCAGGGGAGCAAACGGG
rnacentral:rRNA from 1 species